rnacentral:SRP_RNA from 1 species
GCACUCCGUGGCGCAGAGCGAAAGCCACCUCGCCAUCCUGCAGGGCCACUGCCGCCUUCGGUACGACAAGCUCAUCGCGAACCAGGGCGCGUUCUUCAGCAUGUUCGAGGGCGUGGGCGAGCCCCUCGAGAUCU